rnacentral:rRNA from 1 species
AUGAAUGUCUUGGCCUGGAACUGUCGAGGACUGGGGUUGGACUCGACAGUUGGCGAAUUGAGAGACCUGGUACGGUCUUACAACCCAGCGCUGGUGUUCUUGUCAGAGACAAAGAAGAGUGCAAAAGCGAUGGAGAGACUCAAAUGGAGCCUUGGGUUCUCGCAAGGGGUGACAGUGAGUUGUGCAAGAAAGAGUGGAGGAUUGGCGCUGUGGUGGAGAGAU